CUUCUCUCCUUCGUUUGAGCUUCUUUGGCAUAUUAUCCUGAACUAAGCUAAUAUCUCCAAGGUUACCAAAGCUGCUCUCCAUAUUCAGCCACUCCUUUAGAAGCAUAGCCCUUUCUUCCUUUUGUUCAGGUACUGAUGUUCUGAAGUAGUUCACAGCAGUUUCGAAAACCCUUCUAGCUUUUUGAAGGCAUUGUUUCUUUUGUUCUAACAGUGAAGCCAGUGAAACCUGGUCUCCAAGCAUGUCCACACCUGCGGUUGCCUCAAAAUUUGCAUAACUGAUCC
rnacentral:lncRNA from 1 species